rnacentral:rRNA from 1 species
CGGAGAGUUUGAUCCCGGCUCAGGAUAAACGCUGGCGGUGUGCCUAAUGCAUGCAAGUCGAACGGUCCUUCGGGACAGUGGCGAACGGGUGAGUAACACGUAAGCAACCUGCCCCUAAGUGGGGGAUAACUUCGGGAAACUGGAGCUAAUACCGCAUGUGGUGGCCCUUCAACAGAAGGGUCAUUAAAGCCUUCGGGUGCUUGGGGAGGGGCUUGCGUCUGAUUAGCUUGUUGGUGAGGUAACGGCCCACCAAGGCAAUGAUCGGUAGCUGGUCUGAGAGGAUGGUCAGCCACACUGGGACUGAGACACGGCCCAGACUCCUACGGGAGGCAGCAGCAAGGAAUAUUGUGCAAUGGGC